ensembl:lncRNA novel transcript
CCCUAUUCAAGAUGGAGACGCCCUGGUUCAGACGCCUCUGACAGAUGCUCCAAGAUGAUGUGAAGCAGAUACAAGUGCCCUUCUUGUCUCAUGGACUCAAUCAGGAGAUAUGAAGAUUGACAACUGAUUGGCAAAAGUGAAGUCACUGUGUGACCUGUCCUGAAAAGAUGGUGGCUGCAUCUAGAAACAGUGACGUGUUUGGGGAACAAUGGAGUAGAGUCAGAGACGCACCUACUAAGACAUUUUGGCUGCUGGGCACCUGAACAUGAGCAAUGUGAAGCUUCCGUUGACCCCUGAUCCAGAGAAGAAAGGGAUAGAGUGUAAUAAUCUCUGCUUUCUGGUGGAUCUCCUGUUGUUGAGUAAAAGGGAAUAUGAUCAGGAAAUCACAAAUAUCAAAAGAAUGGAAUGGAUAACUGACAAAUGAUUUAUAUUCCAUAUGCGUAUGUCACAUUUAAUAAAACAAAAUUAUGGCUGA